UUAAAGACUUCAUUCUAAGAUUUGUAGUGGGUGUUAUUGCUGAUAAAUAUCUACCAGGAUGAAGACUUGUAUUGCAAUGGGUGUAUUUUUGUUGUUAACUGUGACUUCUCAGAUUGAAUCAUUUUGUUAUGUGAAACCUCUUGUUCUUCCUGUUCCAUACUGCGAAGGGCCACAUGGCGACGUACAAGUAGGAGAAUCCUAUCGACACAACUGCGUCGACUGUGAGUGCACAGGACACGGGCUGAGUUGCUGUGGGGUUGGAUACAACGCUGGUGUAUUUUCUAUUGAAGAAUGCGAGGUAAAGAGAUUAGACAAGUGCUGCUUUCAGUUUGUACAGAAAAACGACUCAAGCAUCAACUGUACAAAACCAAGUUGCCCCAAACCGCACGAAAAUGAAAUAUCAACAAUUGCUACUACGAAUUAGUUUUCUUGAGUUUUAACCACUAUUAUCAUCAUUAGGUCUGACUAAUAUUAAACACUCCUAUCAUGGUUUCUUUGAGUGGCUUCUCCAUGUUAAUUAGUCAUUGUUACCUAUUUGUAUGUAACCUUCGGUAACGUGUUUGAUUUUAUUAUUGCUUUAUAACGGUGAGAGUACCCUCAUUGAAACUUUGCAGUUAUUAAACAUAGUGAAUGUUAUCCACAGAGCCGCCGGUUAUUAAAAAUAAACCAGUUCAU